rnacentral:ncRNA from 2 species
CAGACCGAGGGGCGCUGCGACGGGGAGACCCGCCACGCUCGGCCUGGUUCCACCGACCAAGGGCGUCCUCCGGAU